AUUGAACGCUGGCGGCAUGCUUUACACAUGCAAGUCGAACGGUAACAGGCCGCAAGGUGCUGACGAGUGGCGAACGGGUGAGUAAUGCAUCGGAACGUGCCCAGUCGUGGGGGAUAACUACUCGAAAGAGUAGCUAAUACCGCAUACGAUCUAUGGAUGAAAGCGGGGGACCGUAAGGCCUCGCGCGAUUGGAGCGGCCGAUGUCAGAUUAGGUAGUUGGUGGGGUAAAGGCUCACCAAGCCAACGAUCUGUAGCUGGUCUGAGAGGACAACCAGCCACACUGAGACUGAGACACGGCCCAGACUCCUACGGGAGGCAGCAGUGGGGAAUUUUGGACAAUGGGCGCAAGCCUGAUCCAGCAAUGCCGCGUGCAGGAAGAAGGCCUUCGGGUUGUAAACUGCUUUUGUACGGAACGAAACGGCUCUGGUUAAUACCCGGGGCUAAUGACGGUACCGUAAGAAUAAGCACCGGCUAACUACGUG
rnacentral:rRNA from 1 species